rnacentral:lncRNA from 1 species
CACCAGUUCCUAUGUGAUAUAGCUAGCCAGGCUGUAGCACCAUCUACUACUAGUAUAGCUAGCCAUGCUGUAGCACCAUCUACUACUAGUGUAGCUAGCCAGGCUGUAGUACCAACUACUACUACUGGUGUAGCUAGCCAGGCUGUAGUACCAACUACUACUACUGGUGUAGCUAGCCAGGCUGUAGUACCAACUACUACUACUGGUGUAGCUAGCCAGGCUGUAGUACCAACUACUACUACUGGUGUAGCUAGCCAGGCUGUAGUACCAACUACUACUACUGGUGUAGCUAGCCAGGCUGUAGCACCAUCUACUACUAGUGUAGCUAGCCAUGCUGUAGCACCAUCUACUGCUAGUGUAGCUAGCCAGGCUGUAGCACCAUCUACUACUAGUGUAGCUAGCUAUGCUGUAAUACCAACUACUACUACUGGUGUAGCUAGCCAUGCUGUAAUACCAACUACUACUACUGGUGUAGCUAGCCAGGCUGUAGAACCUACUACUACUACUGGUGUAGCUAGCCAGGCUGUAGAACCAACUACUACUACUGGUGUAGCUAGCCAGGCUGUAGUACCAACUACUACUAUUGAUGUAGCUAGCCAGGCUGUAGUACCAACUACUACUACUGGGGUAGCUAGCCAGGCUGUAGUACCAACUACUACUACUAGGGUAGCUAUCCAGGCUGUAGUACCAACUACUACUACUACUGGGGUAGCUAUCCAGGCUGUAGUACCAUCUACUACUAGUGUAGCUAGCUAUGCUGUAAUACCAACUACUACUACUGGUGUAGCUAGCCAGGCUGUAGUACCAACUACUACUACUGGUGUAGCUAGCCAUGCUGUAAUACCAACUACUACUACUACUGGUGUAGCUAGCCAGGCUGUAGAACCAACUACUACUACUGGUGUAGCUAGCCAGGCUGUAGAACCAACUACUACUACUGGUGUAGCUAGCCAGGCUGUAGUACCAACUACUACUAUUGAUGUAGCUAGCCAGGAUGUAGUACCAACUACUACUACUGGGGUAGCUAGCCAGGCUGUAGUACCAACUACUACUACUGGGGUAGCUAUCCAGGCUGUAGUACCAACUACUACUACUGGGGUAGCUAUCCAGGCUGUAGUACCAACUACUACUACUGGGGUAGCUAUCCAGGCUGUAGUACCAACUACUACUAGGGUAGCUAGCUAG